rnacentral:rRNA from 1 species
AUACGGAGGGUGCAAGCGUUAUUCGGAAUCACUGGUCGUAAAGGACGCGUAGGCGGGUUGGCAAGUCAGAUGUGAAAUCCUACAGCUUAACUGUAGAACUGCAUUUGAAACUGCUAACCUAGAGUAUGGGAGGGGGAGAUGGAAUUAGUGGUGUAGGGGUAAAAUCCGUAGAUAUCACUAGGAAUACCGAAAGCGAAGGCGAUCUCCUGGAACAUAACUGACGCUAAGGCGUGAAAGCGUGGGGAGCAAACAGGAUUAGAUACCCUAGUAGUCC